rnacentral:lncRNA from 1 species
AGCCGCUUCGGCACUGCCUUAUGAAGUGCCCGAGCAUACGGGAUCGGAUGAAGUGCGCGAGCUGCGAGCCCAGGUAGCGGCUUUGGCCGGGGCUAUGCGGCUUCAAGGGGAGCAGAUUGGACAGCUCAACGAGAUGAUGGCGCGACAGGCGGCGGCGGCGGCAUCUGUGCCGAGGGAUCCGCCCGCACCUGUUGCUCCUGUAGCACCAUCUCCUGCGGUGGCGGCGGCACCGGUGACAGCUAUUCCUCCGACGGCAUCGGGUUCAUC